rnacentral:snoRNA from 1 species
UCUUAAAACUAAGCUGAUUCAUGCUCUGCCCUGUGGAACCCGGUGUACGAUGGCUGCAGAGAGCACACGGCCUCCUUGGUAGUGCAGCUUGUAUGGGCUGUUCUAAGGGGCCUUGGGAAAAGUC